rnacentral:lncRNA from 1 species
GGUAAUCCAGCAGCCAUGUAAAGCAGACAGAGACAAGAUUCCAAGCAAAAAUUGGUUCACGGUCUAAUAAUUACAGAUGGUCCUCCACAAAAACAAGUGAAGUGAAAUGUCUCUCUCUAUUCUUCAGACAUAUGCCUAGAUCUUUCUAGACACCUCUACUCAAUUUAUCAUAUACCUGCAUAGGAACCCUAAUUAUCUUCAUACUAUGGUUUCAAUUCCAAAACCUAAUCAAUUAAAGUAUAAGGUCAUGCCUAUAAGAAAAAACAAACUACAAUUUCAAUUUAACCUAUACCGAUAAAUAAAUCUAAAAAUAGGAGGUACCACUCUUUUUCUCUAGGGAUAAUGCGUUGCUGAUGUGAAUUUGAGCGUAGGCCAUAGAGAACAAGCAAGGGAGAGACACCCGUGCUCAAUCGUUGAUGCCUCACCAAGUCACCAAUAACACAAUAGGACUCAGAACUUUGGCCGAGAACUCCAGGAACAUGCCUAGUACUUCUAGAGGAGAGGAUGACAGCAGCUU